UUCUGCUGCGUAUCUGAUAAUCUUGAGAGUUUCGCUCUUGUUGCCCAGGCUGGAGUGCAAUGGCACGAUCUUGGCUCACCACAACCUCCACCUCCCAGGCUCAAGCGAUUCUCCUUGCCUCCGCCUCCCUAAUAGCUGGGAUUACACUAUUCAAUCCAGGUUUAAGUCCUUCAGCAUCUGACAUUCUCCUGGCAACUGUAAUUCAAUCAAUGAUGACUCAUCUGAGAUGAGCAAGUUGGUCCAGUCAGACCAAACAAAAGACACUCUAUAAUCAGGGGAGAAGUCUUCUCUAUAUCUUUCUUAUAUGAGCAAAUUUAAUGACCUCCACCAUGUCUAAGAACAAGCAGCUAUUUCUGUAGAGAAAGAUCACCUUUGGAUAACAAUACAUGAUUUUAGGCUCUAAAAGUUAAAACGUGUUUGUAACGUUGAUAUUAUGCAGAGGUCUUGACAGAACUUAGCAGUCUCUGAGGCUACAGAGAAGUGUGAAAAAGAGCAUAGAGAUUUCAGAAGGAGGCAGAUUCAGUCAGACAUACUGAAUCCUGUUUGAUCUCAAUUCAGGCACACUCCAGAUGGAUGGAGCAGGAAAACCCUUAGUGAAACCUGCCUCUGCAGGUUGAUGGCUUGGGAGGAGAGGCAUUAUGGAAAAUGAUUAGUUUAUGGAAAAAAUAAAUAAACAAGACUGGUCAGAAAGACUGUGAAAGAAGAACUAUAAAGGGAGAUGAAUCCAAGCAGAUAUUUAGACAUAUCAAGCCUAAUAAUGGAAGUGUGGCACUGGAAUCACGAGACUGACCAAUGGAACAGAAAGUUAAGAAAUAGACCCGAAAAUAUGAGAAGUAUUGAACAG
rnacentral:antisense_RNA from 1 species